rnacentral:rRNA from 1 species
UACGUAGGUGGCAAGCGUUAUCCGGAAUUAUUGGGCGUAAAGAGCGCGCAGGUGGUUGAUUAAGUCUGAUGUGAAAGCCCACGGCUUAACCGUGGAGGGUCAUUGGAAACUGGUCGACUUGAGUGCAGAAGAGGGAAGUGGAAUUCCAUGUGUAGCGGUGAAAUGCGUAGAGAUAUGGAGGAACACCAGUGGCGAAGGCGGCUUCCUGGUCUGUAACUGACGUUGAGGCUCGAAAGCGUGGGGAGCAAACAGGAUUAGAUACCCGCGUA